rnacentral:misc_RNA from 1 species
CUUGGUCAUUUAGAGGAAAUGGAAAAGUUUAUCCAGUACCUGCAUAAUAUCGCUGUGACAGAGCCUGGCGCCGAACUUCAGCCCGUCUAUG